rnacentral:rRNA from 1 species
UUGGAGGGCAAGUCUGGUGCCAGCAGCCGCGGUAAUUCCAGCUCCAAUAGCGUAUAUUAAAGUUGUUGCAGUUAAAAAGCUCGUAGUUGAAUUUCGGGAUUCUUCCGUUGGACAGGCUAACAAGUCUGUACUAGCGUGUAGAAUCUCUACCUUCUGGGGAACCAUCAUGUUAUUAAUUUAGCGUGGUGGGAAACCAGGACCUUUACCUUGAAAAAAUUAGAGUGUUCAAAGCAGGCUUACGUCUGAAUACAUUAGCAUGGAAUAAUAAAAUAGGACGGUGGUCCUGUUUUGUUGGUUUCUGAAUCACCGUAAUGAUUAAUAGGGAUAGUUGGGGGCAUUAGUAUUCAAUUGUCAGAGGUGAAAUUCUUGGAUUUAUUGAAGACUAACUUCUGCGAAAGCAUUUGCCAAGGAUGUUUUCAUUAAUCAAGAACGAAAGUUAGGGGAUCGAAGACGAUCAGAUACCGUCGUAGUCUUAACCAUAAACUAUGCCGACUAGGGAUCGGACGAUGUUAAAUUUUAUUGUCUCGUUCGGCGCCUUACGGGAAA